UUCAUAAACCACUUUUGUUUUCUCAAGAAUUCAGCUAGUUAUUAGCUUCUUAAAAGUUGCAUUCCAUCUCCAAUGACAACUUUAAUUACUGAGAAAAAUAUAAGAAAUCUAUCCUACCCUAAUGGGCUUAUAUAGUUCAUACAUUCGAUAAAAGAAAUAACUUCGACAAAAGGUUUACUUUUCCUACAUUUUCCCCGAAAACUAACGAAGCAACAACAAUUAAACAUUCUAACCCUUUCAAUAAUAUUCAAUGCAGUACACAGAGACGAGAUCUGAUACAAAAAUUCUUCCAAAUGCUUAUCACACCCAGAGAUUCAUGAUGUCAAAUUUACCAAUGUUUACUUGGUUUUUCAUUCACACUCACAACGCACAACACCAUCAACAUCUUAAUAUUCGAUUUAACAAUAAAACCCUAUAAUUCCUAACCCCAAAAUUCGAUUUAACACUAAAACUCCCAAUUUCUAAUUUAAUUUUCUAGAUUGAAUCUAAUUACAAUACCAAAAUCUUCAAGUUAAGGCCUUAAAGCCUGAUUCUGACCUUAGAAAGAAGAAAAAUAAAGAAUUAAGAAAAGA
rnacentral:lncRNA from 1 species